UACGUAGGGUGCGAGCGUUAAUCGGAAUUACUGGGCGUAAAGCGUGCGCAGGCGGUUUUGUAAGCCAGAUGUGAAAUCCCCGGGCUUAACUCGGAACGGCCAAGUGAUACUGUCAAGCUAGAGUGCAGAAAGGGCAAUCGGAAUUCUUGGUGUAGCGGUGAAAUGCGUAGAUAUCAAGAGGAACACCUGAGGCGAAGGCGGGUUGCUAGGCUGACACUGACGCUGACAGCGCGAAAGCCAGGGGAGCAAACGGG
rnacentral:rRNA from 1 species